GGUACUGUGGUCCUCGUGCCCAGCCUUUUCGCUUCUUAGCACCCCCUAUAUUCUGUUUUCUAUCAGUGAAUUAAAAGCUGUUGCCCAUCAUACGAAGUGCGUUUAUGAAGCAGUAAUUAGCUUUCCCAUGUUUUAUUAAUCACAUCUAUGACUGCCAAUCAGAGCUUCUGAUCAGCAUGAGAUAACUGAUGUGACCAUACUGAGUUGCUAUAAUUCUAGCCCAAAGCAAAGAAACUUGAUGUCUCUGUCAGUCUGCGCAGCCUUAUCAGGGGUAAAUUCCUGUUUGGCCUACUGAAAUGCUGGAAUAGCUAGAAGAUCUUCAUCAUAUCCUUGUGGACCCUCAAGGGCCCUUGGUUUGGGAAGGAUUUCCAUCCAGGAGGCUGGUACAACCAGGGUAUAGGGUCUGUGGGAGGUAAGGGAAAUAUGGGCCGCAUCUGUGCAUUUGUUUACUUUGCUUCUUCAAGGGGGCCUGAGCAUAAGAAUUUCUAAUUUGUAGCUACGGCUUUCAUGCCCUCAAGUUCUCAAGUAUUUGUAUGACUGUAAUUCUUGUAUUAGCUGGAAUAUUUCUUUUCACUUUUUGUUUGUUUGUUUUUCUCCUUUGUAAUUCAUAGCUUGGUGUAAAAAUUGCCAAGGCGGUUGCCUGCCACAACUUUGUAAAAGCCAAAAAGGACGCUGAAAAUUCACAGGUUGCCCGAAAAAAGAAGAAACUUGCAUGGGGGUUUGAAGCAAAGAAGAGAUGGGAAACCAAGAGCAACAUGGGAUAUAUGUAACUUGCCAUAGUUCCUCAAGACACUUGAGUCUUGACUUGGGUUUUUGCUUGAGUCUUCAACUGCUCAAUUUACUGAAAAGAUUUACCUGCUUAUGUUAACUAUGUCAGGAAACUGAUAGAUCGGAAAAAUAAGCAUAAAAUUUGGGAGUUGAUUAUUAAAUCUUUUCAGUCUUUUUCUAAAGA